UACGAAGGGGGCUAGCGUUGCUCGGAAUCACUGGGCGUAAAGGGUGCGUAGGCGGGUUUUUAAGUCAGGGGUGAAAUCCUGGAGCUCAACUCCAGAACUGCCUUUGAUACUGAAGAUCUUGAGUCCGGGAGAGGUGAGUGGAACUGCGAGUGUAGAGGUGAAAUUCGUAGAUAUUCGCAAGAACACCAGUGGCGAAGGCGGCUCACUGGCCUGGUACUGACGCUGAGGCACGAAAGCGUGGGGAGCAAACAGG
rnacentral:rRNA from 1 species